rnacentral:rRNA from 1 species
UUUCGUAGUGAACUGCGAAAGAUCAUG